CCUUCUGCUCAAUGUUGCGUCGGGGCCAACCCUGGCGAUAAACUGAGCUGAGGUGGAAUAUCCGAUACAGAGCAAUAGUGUGAGUAAAGCCCGUGUAGGUGUCUGCCUGGCCGGAUGACUCAGUGAAACUAAUAUUGAUUGAUGGAAAGCUGCUGGUGCAGACGCAAGCCAGACUGUUUUACCCAACAGCGACCAGGACCGCGCAUGCGCUUAUCAAUUGCCCUGGGGUUCCCGGGCGCGUGCACACCCGGACGAUGCAGGCCCGGUGCGCGCCUGCGCAGAGGUCGCCACCUGCCAACGGUAACUUUGGUGACGUUCCUUCUGCGUAAACCUGAAAAAGAACCCAUGGAUUCUCCCUCUCUGUCAAGGAAUCUGAGAUGGACGUGAUGGAUGUUGCCACCUUGAUGCCUUUGCCCACCUGAAAAGAACAAUGAAUUUCUUCUGAGAUGCUCCAAGCACAAGAGUGUUCACAGGGUAUACACCUGCACGUACCAUUUCCAGUCACACGAUGCUAUGCAAUCAGCUCAGAAGCAAACAGCAGCACCUCCCCCACUCCAGAACAGUUACAUGAAGAGUCAGGGAUCUAUAUUGCAACUGGAUAAUUAUCUGACAAAAGUUCCAGUGAAAAGAGCAGAAUUAUAAAGAAAAUUACUGUUGAAGCAAUCUUCUGGGACAUGAAUGAAAAUCUGCUGAAAUAAGCAAAGGGCACAAAUGACACAAAUUUAUUCUGUGCACUUCGGAACCCUCUGUCUCAGAAGGCAGUGCAAGUGUGUCAUUGUAUAUUUUUACGAUCAAAUGGACAGAAUCUUCUUAGUCGUGGAAUCAAGGAUUAUCGAGGCAAACAGUACCCUUCAUAUAUGUGGCUGACAAAGAGGGAGACCACAAUAGAGCUAUGCACCAUUGAGUGGGAGAAGCCAGAUGGAAACCAAUUGAAACCAGCUUCCAGCAUAAAAGAGCUGAGUUUGAACUUCCUUUCAUUGCAUACUUUUCAGUUGAUUAUAUAGCAUGCAACCAUGGUCAUCCACAUAUGUAUGGAUCUGGUUAUUUCUGUACUCCUUGAACUCUUCUGUUGCUGAAUAAAUGUUUUCUUCUCCA